rnacentral:rRNA from 1 species
UACAGAGGGGGCACGCGUUGUUCGGAAUUACUGGGCGUAAAGGGCGCGUAGGCGGCCUUCUAAGUCGAACGUGAAAUCCCCGGGCUCAACCCGGGAACUGCGUCCGAUACUGGAAGGCUUGAAUCCGGGAGAGGGAUGCGGAAUUCCAGGUGUAGCGGUGAAAUGCGUAGAUAUCUGGAGGAACACCGGUGGCGAAGGCGGCAUCCUGGACCGGCAUUGACGCUGAGGCGCGAAAGCCAGGGAAGCAAACGGG